CAGGUGGAGCGGCGGUCAAGGCUGGAGUUCAGGAAGGAGACCGAAUCAUUAAGGUCAAUGGUUCAUUGGUUUCGUCCAUGUCUCAUCAGGAAGUGGUGAAGAUGAUCAAAUCUGGGACAUAUGUGGCGUUGACUCUUCAGGGACCGCCUCCUUCAGUCGUGUCCGUCCCGCUUCAGCCCCUCCCCUGUGACC